CUGCAGACUGGGAUAACUUCNGGAAACCGGAGCUAAUACCGGAUAACACCGAAAACCGCAUGGUUUUCNGUUGAAAGGCGGCUUUUAGCUGUCACUGCAGGAUGGGCCCGCGGCGCAUUAGCUAGUUGGCGAGGUAACGGCUCACCAAGGCGACGAUGCGUAGCCGACCUGAGAGGGUGACCGGCCACACUGGGACUGAGACACGGCCCAGACUCCUACGGGAGGCAGCAGNAGGGAAUCUUCCGCAAUGGACGAAAGUCUGACGGAGCAACG
rnacentral:rRNA from 1 species